rnacentral:rRNA from 1 species
GACGAACGCUGGCGGCGUGCCUAACACAUGCAAGUCAACUUGACUGAAGGAGCAAUCUGACAGUAGAGUGGCGCAAAGGAUGCGUAACGCGUAAGUAACUUGCCCAAGGUAAGGAAUAACGUCGAGAAAUCGGCGCUAAUACCUCAUAAUGCAGCGGAUCCGCAUGGAUAUGUUGUUAAAGGUUUACCGCCUUGGGAUAGGCUUGCGUCUGAUUAGCUAGUUGGUGUGGUAAACGGCACACCAAGGCUACGAUCAGUAACUGGUCUGAGAGGAUGAUCAGUCACACUGGAACUGAGACACGGUCCAGACUCCUACGGGAGGCAGCAGUGAGGAAUAUUGGGC